rnacentral:rRNA from 1 species
UACGUAGGGUGCGAGCGUUGUCCGGAAUUAUUGGGCGUAAAGGGCUCGUAGGCGGUUUGUCGCGUCGGGAGUGAAAACUCAGGGCUUAACCCUGAGCCUGCUUCCGAUACGGGCAGACUAGAGGUAUGCAGGGGAGAAUGGAAUUCCUGGUGUAGCGGUGAAAUGCGCAGAUAUCGGGAGGAACACCGGUGGCGAAGGCGGUUCUCUGGGCCUGUACUGACGCUGAGGAGCGAAAGCGUGGGGAGCGAACAGG